rnacentral:rRNA from 1 species
UACAGAGGUCUCAAGCGUUGUUCGGAUUCAUUGGGCGUAAAGGGUGUGUAGGUGGCGCCGUAAGUCGGGUGUGAAAUUUCGGAGCUUAACUCCGAAACUGCAUUCGAUACUGCGGUGCUUGAGGACUGGAGAGGAGACUGGAAUUCAUGGUGUAGCAGUGAAGUGCGUAGAGAUCAUGAGGAAGACCAGUGGCGAAGGCGGGUCUCUGGACAGUGCCUGACACUGAGGCACGAAGGCCAGGGGAGCAAACGGG